AUCUUUUUGCGGUCUGGGCUUGCUGUUCGUGUAAGCCAGUAAGCCCUUACCCCAAAAAG
rnacentral:miRNA from 1 species